rfam:Ictidomys tridecemlineatus contig068796, whole genome shotgun sequence.
UGGGCAGUGGCUCAGGGGCAGAGCGCUCGCCUGGCACGCGUGAGGCGCUGGGUUCGAUUCUCAGCACCACAU